AUUGAACGCUGGCGGCAGGCCUAACACAUGCAAGUCGAACGGUAACAGGAAUCAGCUUGCUGAUUCGCUGACGAGUGGCGGACGGGUGAGUAAUGUCUGGGAAACUGCCUGAUGGAGGGGGAUAACUACUGGAAACGGUAGCUAAUACCGCAUAACGUCGCAAGACCAAAGAGGGGGACCUUCGGGCCUCUUGCCAUCGGAUGUGCCCAGAUGGGAUUAGCUAGUAGGUGGGGUAACGGCUCACCUAGGCGACGAUCCCUAGCUGGUCUGAGAGGAUGACCAGCCAGACUGGAACUGAGACACGGUCCAGACUCCUACGGGAGGCAGCAGUGGGGAAUAUUGCACAAUGGGCGCAAGCCUGAUGCAGCCAUGCCGCGUGUAUGAAGAAGGCCUUCGGGUUGUAAAGUACUUUCAGCGAGGAGGAAGGUGUUGUGGUUAAUAACCACAGCAAUUGACGUUACUCGCAGAAGAAGCACCGGCUAACUCCGUGCCAGCCGCCGCCGAA
rnacentral:rRNA from 1 species